GAUGAAGAACGCAGCAAAAUGCGAUAAGUAGUGUGAAUUGCAGAAUUCCGUGAAUCAUCGAAUCUUUGAACGCACAUUGCGCCUUCUGGUAUUCCGGAAGGCAUGCCUGUUCGAGAGUCAUUAACAACCGUUUCGAUCCCUUUCUUUCAGAAAUUACAAAGAGGAAAAGGGUUUGGUUAUGGUGGAGGAGGGAAAGGGAGCGUUUAGCCUGUAAAAAAAGAGGCUGUGUUCCGCCUCCCCCCCAAAAUUGUACAGGCGGUCGUGUGCGCCCACGCAUCGAGGUGUUGUAAAAGCUGCCACGGCACUUUUCACCUGUGCAGUGCGAGAUUGGCCAGCCGGUUUAAAAACCCCUCCAAACAAUCAAAGGUUGACCUCGGAUCAGGUAGGGAUACCCGCUGAACUUAAGCAUAUCAAUAAGCGGAGGA
rnacentral:misc_RNA from 1 species